GAUGAAAGCGAAAGCGCGCGAGGCGGCCGGGAGGCUAGAAAUGACGCGGGCGGGAGCGAAGGAAGCCUGACUAGGCCGCGCCACAGCAGGACAAGGAGGCUCUGGACGGGGGGGGGGGGGCUUCUUCGCGGUUAACUGAAUGGGACAGGGACACUCCUUUGCAGAGGCUCCGCGCUAUAUUGGAACCUUUCAUAGCAGGCCUGUAGGCCUCUCUGAGGAUUCUGGACUACAACUCCUAUAAUCCCUGAGUACGGCUGGGGCGGAGGGGGCUGCUGGGAGUUGGAGUCCAACGCUUAACGAUGGCCGAUUGGCCUCCGCCCGCCGGGCUGUCAUCCCAUGAAUUCCAUCAUGCUCAAGUUCCUUCAGAGAGGGGUGACUACAAUACCGCACAUCGCGGGUGGGGGAACAUCUGUGGCCCUCCACUUGUUUAGCAGCUCCCAUCAGCCCCUGCAGCCAGCAUAGUGAAUGGUCAGGGAUGAUGGGAGCUCAGUCCAGCAACGCCAUGAGAGCCAUAGUUUCCCCUGCCUUAUAGAAACGGAAGAAGAGGCUGCUGCAUUAAGACAAUGGUCCAACUAGUGCCUGAAUGAAAAGCCUGGAAGGAAGAUCCAAGUGCAGCAACACCCUCCCUUCCAGCAACUGGUUUUCAGAAGCAUUGCUGCCUCACAGCCACCAAGGGUAGUAGCUUUAACCUAAGAACAUAAGAAGAGCCUGCGCUAUCAGGCCAAAGAAGGCCUAUCUAGUCCAGCAUCCUGUUCUCACAGUGGCCAGCCAGCUCUCCACAAUCAGGACCUGAGUAGAAGAGCAGCACUCUUCCCUCCUGCAGUUUCCAGCAAUGGGUGUUCAGAACUUUCACUGCCUCUAACCGUGUAAGCAGAGCAGACCCAUCAUGCCAUAUAGACAAUACUUGUGAAAGUAAAUCUGCCUCUUGUUUGCAACAAAUAUUUCUUUGUGGGGUGGGGAAUGGUUAAUAUCUCACAUUUGAUGAAACCCACAUGAUUCUGCAUCUUUAGUGUAUUUAGAGCUCACAGCACUGCUGGAGAGUAACAGCUGGGGAAGAAGGUUUUUGCCUUUGAGCUCUGUGGGCUUCCUGUAGCAUCUUGUUGUCCAAGUGCUAUGGGGAAUAGAAUGUUGAACUAGAUGGAUGCUCAUUCUGGCUCUGCUUAUGUGCACUUGUAAUUAUAUUAACUCAGGAGUAAGCCCUAAGGUUGCUUGUACUUGGGGACAAGUAAACAUGCUCAGGACAGGGCUCUUAAAAAUUCCCCUUCAGCAAAUUUUGCACUGAGCUAUUGAAAUAAGUGGAAUCAACCUCUAUAACUUCUUAAAAUUUAUCUGGAUGGCCCCUGAAACCAUGUCAUGGGCAGAGGUGAUGACCUGUUAAUAUUUCUGCAGCAGGGUCACUGACUCUAGUAUCCAAGAGCUGCCCAAUUAGCAUAAAAUAAGAGUCUCAUUAGUCUUCUCACUGUUUAUACUGAUUGGAACCAAUCAGAGUAAAACUAUUAUUGUUGUAUAAUUAUAAGAUUAUUGUAGAAGUGGAUGCGGGUGUGGCUUUCAUAAAGGGAUCCUGCACUUUGUUACCAUGCUAUUGCCCACAGGUUCUUGCUUUUAGUUCCUACUUAACAGUGAGUGCGGUCCUAUCCUUAAGUUAUGCUGGUUGAAUUUCUGCUAGAUGUCAGUGGAACACCACUGAAGAAGAAGAAGAGGAGUUUGGAUUUGAUAUCCCACUUUAUCACUACCCUAAGUAGUGUCUCAAAGCAGCUAACAUUAUCUUUUCCCUUCCUCCCCCACAACAAGCACUCUGUGAGGUGAGUGGGGCUGAGAGACUUCAAAGAAGUGUGACUAGCCCAAGGUCACCCAGCAGCUGCAUGUGGAGGAGCGGAGUCGCAAACCCUGUUCACGAGAUUAGGAGACUACCUCUCUUAACCACUACACCACAUUGGCACCAGGGGCAAAACCAGUGGGGGAUACAGUGAAGAAAGAGCUGAUCUGUAUUCACAGAUGAGUACUUCCCUUCUCCCACUAAUAGUGUAUCAUAAAGAGGUGGUGUAAAAUGACACAGUUCCAGUUAUCAGAGAGCCCCCAAACUACGACCCCACUGCUCUGCUGGCUGUGGCUGAUGGAAUUUGUAGUCUAAAACAUUUGAAGGACACCAUGGCAAAGCUGCUUCACGUGUUGUAAAUGUUUAAGAAUUUUUAAAGUUUUUGUUUGUAAAAAAACCCUAGAAGAAACAUCUUAAAUUUGGCUUGUAUAACAAAACUUUCAUUGUCUGAUAUCUGUCAAGUGUUGCAUGUGGCAAAAAAUGACUAAUAAAUUUAAUAAUAGACAUAAAAAUGCUACAUAUGACUUGCUGUAUUUUUUAUGAAAGUGCAGUGAAUAGAAAAUUCAGUCAAGCAACCUAUCAAUUUUCUUUGCUGAAAUUUGCUCCCCCACCCCUAAACCUUUCAGUUGUUUGAGGUCAGAUGAAACUGAAAACAGUUCAGUGCCUUUAAAGAAAGGACUUAGCAUUAGAACAAGUCUGUGAAAGUUAAUGCAAAAGGUGAGCUUUUGAAAGGAAACAAUAAAGCAAUAAAACGGGAAUGAGAUGAGUUUAUCUCUACCACAGGCAGGGAGGAGAGGAAGGAGCCGAAAGCCUUUUGUGUGUGUCAUAGGAUCAAAGAAGGUAAAAGAUGUAGGAAAGCCAUUGAAAAAGUGUGAAAAUGUAUGCGUUAUAAGUACAAGUAAUCGGCACAGCAUUUUCCUUGCUUAUUCUGUAAGGUCAGUCUGCGUAGCAUUGGAAUUCGUAAUAAACACUCUUUUGUUUGAACACCGAACCUGGAUCAUUAAUUGGCCUCCCAGGUUGCCCGCAGGAAAGGAUUUUUCCUUAUCACUGUCACCAUAUACCACAAAACAGCCUCAACUAGGCAUAUGUAUUUCUUUCUAUUUUGAAAGAGCAAGCCUAUGCAGCUUAUCUGUAGUAUGACAGAGGCUACUGCUUUUCAGUACUCAGUAAGGAAAGCAUGCAAAAUAUCUGGAGCUGAGUGAUAAUACUGUUGUAGAAGAUGUUUGAUAUUUACUGAGGCCCUUUACAGUCUAUGUGGGCUGAGUUGCUUGGAUGAGUCAUGCAGUAUAUUACAUUAACAAAAGAGAUGGUACUCACAAUCCAAAUUUGAUGGUGUGCAUGUGUGUGUGAUAGAAAGGUAAAGGCAAUGUAUAACCUUUUGCCUAAAAAUAAUGAAAAGCUUAGAGUAUAACGAAAUAUAAAUUUCAGAUCAAGUUAGUCAUACUUAUUUUUAUGUGUGCGCUUAGGUUUUAUUUAUUUAUUAUUAUUGACAUAACUAUAGAAACAAAAACCUUUUCCAUCUCCUAUUUCCUUAACAUGCAUUCCAUAACUCAAAAAAACCAAAUUCCAUCUUUUGGCAAAAUCAGCACUACCUGGCCUUCCUUACCUUCUUCUGACUAGCUCCAUCAACUUGUCUGUUACAGCCAAUUCCAUACAUGUCAUCAGCCAUUCAUUCCCAUUCUGUCGGGCCUGUUGGCACUUCUAUUUUCUUGCCCAUUCAAGAGGGUGAAUCCAAAGAAAGACUUCAGAUGAUGUUCACAUGAGGGCCAUAAGGUCCUGGUACAUUUUGGUUGGCAGAGGCAGUGAGUCAGGUAUUGCAGUCCCGUGUCAUAUAGGGUUUUAUAGCUUAAAAACAACACUUUGAAUUGGGCCCAGAAACAUAGACAGCCAGUGCAUGCAUAUGGGAUUAUAUUGCAAGACAUCAUAAUUAAGUGACUAGCAUAAAUAAGGAGGACGUUAGAUAGCUCAGGAGUGGGUUGAGUUCACCAAGCUCUUCCUUCAAUCAUUAGCAGUUAUUAAGAUGCCCUCCCAUUUGGCAUUAUUAAUGGCCCAUUACCUUCCCUUUGUCUUUCUUAAUGGCUCUUCUCCCAGGUGAUUACCAGGCUGUCAUUGCUAUUCCAGCAAUUGAAUCUGCUGGAUCCAGGAAUUAGAAGGGGCACAGGUAUUAGGCAUUCAGCUUAACCACUCAAAACUCAUAACAGUAUUCAUGACUUACAUCAGGGGUCGGCAACCUAAAGCCCAUGGGCCUGUAGCCCACAAGGCUUGUCUAACCGGCCCAUGGCGACCCCUGCCCCCCCUGUUGCCCCUCACUGCCUGCUCUGACCGGCGCAGCAUGGGGACCGACUUCCAGGUUGAUGGUGCCAGUGCGCAUGCGCAUGGGCACUCCUCUGACCUGGAUGUGUGCCAGAAAUAGCGUGUGUGCACGUGUGCGGGGUGGAGAAGUGCCCUUCCGAACGCGCACAUGCUAUUUCUGCGCACUUCUGGGUCAGAGGAGUGCCGGAAAUAGUGUGUGCACGGGUGCCCCUCCAACCCGGAAGAGCGCGCGUGCGCACAUGCUCCAGCCCAUCUGACGGACGGAGCGUCGACUGGCCCAUCCUGGGAUAAGGUUGCCGACCUCUGACUUACAUCAUGUUGAAUGAAUCAAACCAAGGACUUGAAAAUGGGAAGACAUUCAUACAACUAUAUAACAAAUCAUACUAAAUCAUAUGAUAUACUAUCCAGCAUUUUAGCACUGCUGGUUUAUUGAAAUAGCUGCCAUUUCUAACACUGCAUUUAAAAUAUAAGAAAGCCCAUUUAUAGGAAAGCACCCUCAGAGUCAUUUGCCUCCUAAGAAAAAAUAACUGCCCCCAACAGACUUAAAGUGCAAUAUUAUCAUCUUCAAAUAGGGUUUUACUACAGGGUAAGUGUACCAGGUAGAAUUAUAGCCUUAUCGUGACUUUUUUAUUUUAAAAAAGUUAUAUCAAUUAUAAAGUCCAACUGAAAUCUACUGGAUUUGCCCACAUAUGUUUGACACCAGGUUGGCAUUAAAAAUAAUUUAAAUUAUUGCAUUAAAAAAAAAAGUUUCACAGGAAUUUCUACCACUUUCAUUUGGCAAUUUUUAGCUUUUUCCAUAAGUACUGAAGAAUGCAACAGUGGAAUUUGCUCAGAUUAAAUUUUUCAUAUGCAGGUAGGUGCUGCCAUCUAGUUUUUAGUGUGAACUCUGCUCCAUAUUCUGAGAGCCUUCUUUCAUGUGAGAUCAGCAACUCUAAGAGAAUGUACAGCAGUCUUUAUUUCAGAAGACCUUUUCUUUCCUGAAUUGUGUGAAACACCUAGAUCGGUCCAAAAGUCAG
rnacentral:lncRNA from 1 species